GAACGAGAAAGUGGAGCAAUCCAUGAGUAAAGUGGCGACCGGGUGAGUAACACGUGACUAACCUGCCCUAGAGUGGGGGAUAACCUCGGGAAACCGGGGCUAAUACCGCAUAACAUCACGAGGGGAAGAUCCUUGUGAUCAAAGGAGCAAUUCGCUAAAGGAGGGGGUCGCGGCUGAUUAGUUAGUUGGUGAGGUAACGGCUCACCAAGACUUAGAUCAGUAGCCGGCCUGAGAGGGCGCACGGCCACACUGGAACUGAAACACGGUCCAGACUCCUACGGGAGGCAGCAGUGGGGAAUUUUGCGCAAUGGGGGAAACCCUGACGCAGCAACGCCGCGUGGAGGAUGAAGUCCCUUGGGAUGUAAACUCCUUUCGAUCGGGACGAUUAUGACGGUACCGGAAGAAGAAGCACCGGCUAACUCUGUG
rnacentral:rRNA from 1 species